rnacentral:tRNA from 1 species
GCAUUGGUGGUUCACUGGUAGAAUUCUCGCCUGCCACGCGGGAGACCCGAGUAAGAUUCCUGGCCAAUGCA